rnacentral:lncRNA from 1 species
ACCCAAAUAUUGGUUCUGAUGGGUCAAUGGGUUUCUGAUGGGUCCAUGGGUUUCUGAUGGGAUCCAGAUUGGUUCUUGAUGGGUCCCAAUGGGUUCUGAUGCGUCCCAAUGGUUCUGAUGGGCAAUGCUGACCCAAUAUUGGUUCUGAUGGGUCCAAUUGGUUCUGAUGGGUCCAAUGGGUUCUGAUGGGUCCAAUGGGUUCUGAUGGGUCCAAUUGGUUCUGAUGGGUCCCAAUGGGUUCUGAUGGGUCCCAAGGGUUCUGAUGGGUCCAAUUGGUUUCUCGAUUGGGUCCAAUUUAUGACCAUAUUGGCUUUCUGAUGGGUCCAUUGGCCGCCAUCUUCAGUGUCCAAAGCCAAUGGCUGCCAUCUUGUGUCACCAAUGGCCGCCAUCUUGGGUGUCCAAAGCCAAUGGCCGCCAUCUUGGGUGCAAUCCCAAUGGCCCGCCAUCUUCUGCUGUCAUCAAAGCCAAUUGAUCCAACUGGCAUGGCGCUGUCAUCUGGGAUGUCCAAAAGCCAAAUGGCCGCCAUCUUGUGUCAUCAAAGCCAAUGUCCAAUGGCAAUGGCCACCAUCUUGGGUGUCCUAAGCCAAUGGCCGCCAUCUUGUGUCACCAAUGGCCGCCAUCUUGGGUGUCCAAACCCAAUGGCCGCCAUCUUGUGUCACCAAUAGCCGCCAUCUUGGGUUGUCCAAAUCUCCAAUGGCUGCCAGUUCUUGGCGUGUCCCACAUCCAAUGGCCGCCCAUUUGUG